rnacentral:misc_RNA from 1 species
AAGUCGUAACAAGGUUUCCGUAGGUGAACCUGCGGAAGGAUCAUUAACACGUAUCCAAACGUUAAAACCCCCCCCGUGAACCUUCAUCCUGCUCUUGUACAUCAUAGCCCGGAAAGUUGUAGUGAUUCAGAGACCUCUGGCUACGUGCGAACAUUGGAACAGUUACAAUCUAGCGGUAGUUCUAUGGAUAUCUUGGUUCUC